AAUAAUAGUAUUAUUUUUACGGCUUAAUUUCCUGAGUCUUCCAUCUCCAAGUUCUUCCGUGUGUGGGUAUUGGUGUGUACAAAGUGUCGUCUGCAUAUCGCAGGCCGGAGAUCUUCAAGCCACCGAAUCUGUCCAGUCUUGAAUCUGGUCUACGAGUAGCGAUCUACCAUCGGAAUGACGAAAUUACGCGGGUUUGAAAUUGUACUCUAUACACAGCAGCUUAUCAUUGCUUGAAUGCAGCCUCCAAUGAGAAAGCAAAUUGAAUUAUCGAUGCGAUGUCCUCGUCACGGCAGCGGCCGGAUUGAAGUUCCGACGCGCGUCUAACGCUGCUCGGUUAAGUUUCAGUCUGACGGUUCUAAUUUAGACUAAAAUAGCCAAUCUGUCCAAUCCCCUAUUACUGACUUCCAAAGUAGCUUAAAUGUUUGUCGUUACUGUGGUUUCGGUGCUAUCAGCUCCAAUAAAAUGUCUUAUAAUAAUCGUAUCGUACCUUUGUUUGAUCUGCCUGGAAUUUGGGUUGAAUUUCAUGAAUAUUAUUAGAAGGUUGUCAAAACUGACAAAAGACAAAAUUAUUUAUGUUAUUUGGACAUGUGUUACUAAAUACGUCAAAAUAUUAGGUACCUACGAAUUUUCCGUUUAGAAUACAAAUUGAUGUUGUAAUUAUUUUUUAUUUCUAUCAAUCAAAAUAAUAUGUACUCAUGGUAUCGUUGCAUCUCUGCGAGUGCAGUGGUGAUUGUUUAAUGCCUUUCUCGAAGAACUCAGGUGUACAAGAGCCAACAAUCUCUUCGAAUGUAUUUUGUAUUGCCUCUCGGGUAUAUUAGCUUUUCUUUGCCCAGAAGUUGUCCAAACUUUGGAAAAAGUAGAAGUCAGUCGGCGCAAGGUCUGUAGAGUUUGGUGGAAACCAUUUAUCUAGCUUUUGUAGCUCAGAGAAGGUCUGUUGUGCCGUAUGAAUUUGAGUGUUGUUAUGUAGGAGCACCAGGGAUGAGUGAUUAACCAAGGCGGGCCAGAGAUUCGAGAGUUUCUACAUCAUUGUGUCCAGUUUCUUACAGUACAUAUCCGAAGUAAUCCUAGUGCUAUUUGGUAAGAAGCUGUGAUGAAUUAUGCUGAGAAGGGAAGGGAAGCGAAGGGAUGAGAGAACGAAAAGAAAGAAGGAGAAAGAGAAAGAGAAAGUUCGGUCGCGCAGCAAAAUCCCUAUCUCCUCCAAGCCUGCCGUAAGGAACUUCGUUCCAAUUAUAAACGCGAAAUUAAACCGCGAAUGUAGUUUUUUUAUUUUAAUGGUUUAAUAAAUAUCACAGCUGUUUCUUGAAGGAAACUUCAAAAUAUCAAAUAACAUUUUAACGAAAUGUCUUCUUUAUGAUGCAAACUUUUACGAAAAAUUGAAAUUCUCUACCGUUUUGACAAUUGAGACCUAUUGUAGUCGGGGUUCAAACGAUGUCCAGGAAGUCGCUUUAGUCGCCUGAUCUCACACCUUUGCGACAGAGCUUUUGACCUGCUGAACCGUGAUUUGUAACGGGUGACUAAUGAUUCUUGAAUUUCCUCGUGUUGUAAAGCUUACUUUUAUUCACGCUUUGAUACCAUUGUCAUCAUUAUGCGGCCAUGCGUUCUUUAUUGUGGGCAUUAUUACUUGGUUAUGUCCGUGGGCUCCGAUGACCACUCGAAACCGGGUGAGACUGGCCUUAAAGUGAUCUCGGUCAUUAAUUCACUUAAUACAAGACAGCCAAACAAUUUUCACGCAAAAUGUGAAACUACAAUUUCGUCGUAAAAUAGUUGUAAAUCAAAAUGAGAACUAUUAUCUACUUUUAAAUACGAUUUCCAACUGAAAAAAGCGGAAUGAUAAAAACUAAAACGAAUGCAACAAUUGUAAAAUGAUGAAAAAAUAAAUAAUGUACCGCUUCUGAAAUUAUUCUCAGCGUGACUUUAAAAAAAAACAGUUCAAAGUUGCACGUCUUCGUUAUCCAGGGCACGUUUUGAAACGGGAUCAACUGAAUCAAGUAGAAUGAAAUUCAAUCUAGCAGAUUUUAUUGUUUUUUGCUGCUUCGCGAGUAUUUCUACGACUGGAUCAGAAUCGUGACUCGCUGAGAAGAUCUUGCGAGAACUUUGUGUGAUGUUGUUUUGGGCUAAGUGUCAGUCACUUCAAGCUCAUCGAAGAGUGAGGUGACCUGUGAUGUGGCUGCUGUUUUAGAACUAGAAACAUCCAGCAGCUCGAAAGGAUCGAGUGACUCCAUUAGGACGUGAUGACGGGUAACAUUUGGUAUUAUUUUAAUUUGGGUGUGGAUCACGUAAGUGAAUAUUACACUCACAUACAUAUGUAUCUCAUUUGGGGGCGAAUGCGAAUUUUAUAAAGUAUCACCUUACUACAAAGGCUUACUUUGUUAACAUUGUGUUUUUUUUAUAUUAUUACUUAUGGACUUCAGCAAUGCCCAGGGGAGAGCCAAGCCGCUGCCUAAAAGUAGAGCCUGCCUAACGCUAUCGUGGAACGAUCUUAUGUCAGGACAGAAGGUCAUCAAGCUUUUCAGGGUGACUAUCAGAUACAUGAUCAUCUUGGCCCAGAGUAUAACCAAACCAAACAAUUGCUAAAGAACAUAGAGUGGUUUUCCUGUGAUUGUAACAAGAAAAGAAUAGGAUCUAGAACCCUCUUUCGAAGGUCUUCCUGGUUCACGUAGGGUUAACAGCAAUUCAUCGCUUCUAGAAUCACUCAUUGUCGCAAAGUUAUGGCAGCGGUCUGAAGAUUCUUCAUGAUAAAGCCAGGAAUUUAACGCGACCCGUCUUCGCAUACAAGGCUUCGACGAAGACGGUGACCGGUGCUUGGAAUAGUGCGUAUUGAUAGAUAGAUAGAUAGCCGCAAAACUUGAAAACAAUUCAUAUCAGCAUGUAUUCGAAGCGUUUUCAAGAGCUAUGAUAGGAUGUUGAAUUUGUUACUUUUACAGGAAAACAUAAAAAUAAUGAUCAUAAUGUUAUUACUUUAGUAAGGUAGUUUUCAUAAAUAAUAAUAAGUAGAUGCGCAGAAAUUACUGCCAUGAGAGAGCUUAGGAUUCGUCUGUCGACUACCUCCACAUUGCACAUUGUUCACGACAUGUAAAAUAGGAAAGUAUUUAUGCUUAACUCAGCUCUGAGGAAUUGUUCAAGAUGAUACCAACGUCUCAUUUUUACCAUCGCACCGCCCGCCACCGGAGUAGAGUUCAUCCAUACUACCUGGAGCCACUGCGGUCAUCCACAGUGCGUUUCCAGAGAUCUUUUUUGCCACGUACCAUCCGGCUAUGGAAUGAGCUCCCCUCCACGGUGUUUCCCGAGCGCUAUGACAUGUCCUUCUUCAAACGAGGCUUGUGGAGAGUAUUAAGCGGUAGGCAGCGGCUUGGCGCUGCCCUUGGCAUUGCUGAAGUCCAUGGGCGACGGUAACCACUCACCAUCAGGUGGGCCGUAUGCUCGUCUGCCUACAAAGGCAAUAAAAAAAAAAGCUGGUGUUAGAACAAAACGGCGCGGUCACGAGUGGUGGUGCAUGGCUUUUAAAAUAAAUAUGGUUUUAAUUUUGAACGAGGCUUGAGGAGUCAACAGCGGAAAGCCGCACGUCCCUAGCAUUGAAGAUGUCCAUGAGUGACGGUGAUCACUCACCAUCAGAAGAGAUCGUCUUCGCGUCUGUCUACUAAGGCAAAAAAAGACAAUUUCCAGUGGCAUUUACUAGUUUCAAAAGCGGUCACAGAACACUAAAACAUUUCUCUGAGGAUGUAUACCAACCUAGUCGUACUAUAUAAAUAUAUUUAAAAAAACAUCUUUAAGUAAAAUAAACCACAAAAUCUAAUACAUUAAUUAUUUUACGUUUUAAGUUAAAAUAAAUUGUUUAUUAAUGGUUGUUGUUAUAAAAGUAGAAAUUUCAGUCGCCCACGUACACAUUGGCUGUCCUCCCAACGCUGCCUCACAGCACUGUAAAAUGAAUAUUAUAUAAGGGAGCCGAAGAUAUCUUUUACGAUAAUUUUGCUAGAAAUUGCCUUUAAGUGAUGCCUCCGGGGUAUGUUGUGUGUUCUAUGCAAAGCAUUAUACGUAAGAAAAUAACCUUAAUGAGUUCUUUGCACACCUAUUAAUUUGCAUAAAAUUAUGGCCCUAGACAGGAUCGGUUUUAAUCUUAUCAGUGAGUCUAAAUCACAUAAAUAGGUUUCAGAGAAAUCAUGGACUUGUAGAAAUUUUAUUGUCGUAUUCACGAUCUUUUUCUUGAAAUUUACAGGAACCUCCUUGUUAGGCACUAUUAAAAUUUUAGCAGUUAAAUGUGCUAGGACAGAUCCAACGCUUGGGUUAUAAUUAAAACUGUUUUUAUUAUUUUAUUUAUAGAUAGAUGCUCAUUUCUAAGAAAUGGAAAAGUAAGAAAUGACCUUGCUACCAUUUGGUCUGGGCACCUAAAGAACAUCUAUCUUUAUUUUGUUUAUAACUCCGGGACGAAAAAUAUGCAGAUUGGUACCUAUCUGUGUAUGGACUCACUCUGAGCCCCACUAUCAGUGUCGUAUAAAAAUAGAGAAGUAAGUCACGGUCCUCGUCUAAUUCGUCGAUUACAAUAAAUAGCUCGACGUGAAAACUAUCCCAUAGACACAAUCCAUUGAGUUUCUUGGCGGACCGUCUCAGUGGGUUGGGAUUCCGAUCCGGCUGUAAAUUCUACGAAGCACUGUUAAGGUCAGUGUUAGAAAUUCUUUCAAGCUUAGCCCGUGAGCUCACCUACCGGUCCGUGAGUAGUUGCAAUAGCCUUUUAGGCAAUCAACGAUUAGGUAGGAAAAUAAAAAGAUAAAUUUUAUGAAUGCAAAAUAGGGUGAAUGAUUUAUCUUUAAUCGACGUUUCAACGGCACACUUAUUAUUGUUUCAACUGAUUUAUGACAGUCGCCUCGUUUUUAAGGGAGUUGAUUGAGUGAGCUCCAUUACUGUAGCGUAUGAAAGAAGUAAUUUAUUUUAUUUAUUUAUUUCAUUUACUUCAGAGUUUGUAUCCAUAUUACACUCAUUAACAUUUCAUUUAUACUAGAAUUAAAUAAAAAUAAUAACUACAGUUUCGGACUAAAACAAGAGAAAUAAUAAUAAUAAUAAUAUCAUUACUGCACUCCAAUACCUGUUGAGUAAUCAUUAUAUUUGAUAUUUUACUGUUGUGUUUAUUCGCCUAGCUUUACUUGACAUAAAAUAGAUAUUUUUCGAAGCAUCGACAUGGUAUUAACAGUUUGUCGAAGCCCAGAAACGAGAUCGAGCUUUCAAUAGCGUCGAAAUACUGAUGUCCUAUCUUCCGUCCUAUCUAUCCUAGCAAAGUGGGACACACGCGGCAGAAAAAAGGAAGACGGUAAUAUUCAACUAUGUGGACUUAUAAUACGUCUAACUUCAAAUAAAAUGAGGGGAUUCUAGAAGCCAGGGCCAGAAAGAAUUUGGCUUAUGAGAAUUUCAGUUCAGUGCAUCGAAUUUGUUCGCUAUGUUUUUUCCACACGUUAGGUCUAGUCAUCAGCACUCAUCUGUUAGAAGCGUGUCGGUGUUUACUAACCGGGGCGGAUUUAAUGAGCAGCUUGUUGUAGUUUGACAGAGUGAUUUAAUAUCGCAGCGUGAUCGUUUCAGUAAAUCGGGAUUAGUUCGGGGUGAGACCGAAGCGUGAGUUAUUGCGGUGGAAUAUGGCGCGCGUUUGCUUUUACUUAUAUGUACAUAAUAUGUUACGUGAAGUUUUCCUAAAAAAUAUAUUUUAAUAGGACAUUUUAUUGUUUUUAAGAUAAGUUUCAUUAAAUACUGAUACAGUUUUAGGUAUAUGUUAUAAUGAUCCUGGUUAUUUGUGCUAUAAAUCGGUAAUAAAUUCAUGUUUUAAGUUUUUUUUUUGUUCCUUAGAUGGUUGGACGAGCUCACAGCCUACACCUGGUGUGUAAAGUGGUUACUGGAGCCCAUAGACAUCUACAACGUAAAUGCGCCACCCAUCUUAAGAUAUAAGUUCUAAGAUCUCAGUAUAGUUACAACGGCUGCCCCAACCUUCAAACCGAAACGCAUUACUGCUUCACGGCAGAAAUAGGCAGGUUGGUGGUGUUGGAAACCCAACAAAAUUGGUAUAAAACCUUUUUUAUUGUUGUGGUUGUGGUUUUUGACAUUACAUUUUAAUUUUGAAUUUUUUGGAAUGUCUUAGUUUUGUCAAUUCUCUUUCAUCCGUGCUAUUGUACGCGAUUUAUAAAAUUUCUAAAAUAUACAAAUUUUAUACGUGCAA